GAUGAAGAACGCAGCGAAAUGCGAUAAGUAAUGUGAAUUGCGGAAUUCAGUGAAUCAUCGAAUCUUUGAACGCACAUUGCGCCCGCCAGUAUUCUGGCGGGCAUGCCUGUCUGAGCGUCAUUUCAACCCUCAUGCCCCUAGGGCGUGGUGUUGGGGAUCGGCCAAAGCCCGCGAGGGACGGCCGGCCCCUAAAUCUAGUGGCGGACCCGUCGUGGCCUCCUCUGCGAAGUAGUGAUAUUCCGCAUCGGAGAGCGAUGAGCCCCUGCCGUUAAACCCCCAACUUUCCAAGGUUGACCUCAGAUCAGGUAGGAAUACCCGCUGAACUUAAGCAUAUCAAUAAGCGGAGGA
rnacentral:misc_RNA from 1 species